UAGGGAAUCUUCCGCAAUGGACGCAAGUCUGACGGAGCAACGCCGCGUGAGUGAAGAAGGAUUUCGGUUCGUAAAACUCUGUUGUUAGAGAAGAACAGCGCAUAGAGUAACUGUUAUGCGUGUGACGGUAUCUAACCAGAAAGCCACGGCUAACUACGUGCCAGCAGCCGCGGUAAUACGUAGGUGGCAAGCGUUGUCCGGAUUUAUUGGGCGUAAAGCGAGCGCAGGCGGUCAAUUAAGUCUGAUGUGAAAGCCCCCGGCUCAACCGGGGAGGGUCAUUGGAAACUGGUUGACUUGAGUGCAGAAGAGGAGAGUGGAAUUCCAUGUGUAGCGGUGAAAUGCGUAGAUAUAUGGAGGAACACCAGUGGCGAAGGCGACUCUCUGGUCUGUAACUGACGAGGAGGCUCGAAAGCGUGGGUAGCAAACAGG
rnacentral:rRNA from 1 species